rnacentral:tRNA from 1 species
GCACCUUCAUAGCUCAGUUGGUAGAGCACAUGUGUUUAAGAAGUUCCUGAAACGCUGUGGUCCAAAGGUCGCUGGUUCAACUCCAGCUCCAAGCUCCA